UACGAAGGGGGCUAGCGUUGCUCGGAAUCACUGGGCGUAAAGGGUGCGUAGGCGGCUUGGUAAGUUGGGGGUGAAAGCCCCGGGCUCAGCCCGGGAAGGGCACUCGAAACUGCCGAGCUGGAGUGCCAGAGAGGAGAGUGGAAUUCCUGGUGUAGCGGUGAAAUGCGCAGAUAUCAGGAAGAACACCCGUGGCGAAGGCGGCUCUCUGGGACGGUACUGACGCUGAGACGCGAAAGCGUGGGGAGCGAACAGG
rnacentral:rRNA from 1 species